rnacentral:lncRNA from 1 species
CUCUGGGUUCUCUCUGUCAAAUCCAUUCUAGCAGGGAAAGGCUGGGCAUUUCUAGGCUCUCCUCAAAGCCUUCCCUGGGGGAGCAGGAUUUAGCCCCCCCUCUUCCCCCAGGAAAACUUGGGGAUGUUUUUGAUGGUGGAAAUGGAGCUGGGCUCUCAGCCUGGGGAUUUUGAAGGGCACAGCUUUGAGCGUGGGUUAGAUGAGAUGUUGUUUAGGGGCUCCUUCUGACCUGAAUUAUUCUGUGAUUGCAGGCAUCUGCUCAUCCAAUAAAUUUUCCCCCCUCAGUUUUCCUGAAGCCCCUGGACCCAGAGGUGAUUGCAGCAGGCAAAGCAGCAAAAAAACCCAAAAGGACAAACCAGCUGCAGAGGUUGGUUUCAGGUAGAGCUCUCACAGGUCUUGGGGCACCGAUGCUUCCCACUGCACUUCCAGCAGACUUCUGCAGAGGGAAAGGAUUUGUUAUCGUGGCUUAAAUCCCAUCCUGAGGAGCUGAAUGUGCAAUCCUUUAAGCACAGGGAUGUCUCUGGAGUGCUGCCUAUUCCCACAGCUCGCUGUGCAGCAGAAGGAAUGUCUAGAGGAUCCAGCAGCGCUUGCAGCUGGGAAUUUUGUUAUUCCCAGCUGCAAACCUUGGAGUCUGCAUUUGGUGUCCGUGCUGCUGCUGAAGACCCAAAGGAGGUCCCGUCCAGAAGGGUUGUCUGGUCUUUACCCAGCAGUGAUGGAUGGCAGCGUUUAAGGGAUCAUUUCAUGGCACAGGCUCAGCCUGACCCUUUUCUGUGCCCGUGGCUGGUGCUGAGAAAGGCUGUAAUGACUGUUUGGGCUGAGGAGAGCAGUGUCUCUGUGUAUUCAUUUAACUGCUCAAUUUGAAAGAGAACAUGGAAAGCUGCAUUUAAUUAGAGAAGCCUUUUAUUAACUUGGCUUCAGAUGAACUUAGAUGAGACGGUGCUCCACAGAAAUUCAUUCCAUGUAUUAACCCACGAGCAUUUGCACUGAAGGCAGACAGCUCAGAUCUUGCAGUGGGAAUUUUCGAGGCACCACAGAACAGGUUUCAUGUCUCUGUGUUUCACCUGAGCAGUCAAAUCAGCACUUGCUAAUUCUGGAUGGAAAUGGAAGAAAACAGUCAUAAAUAGGUUUUCUAGAACUAAACCUUAUAUUUUUUCUGUUGCCUUAUGAAGUCUGUCACGGCAGCUGUCACUGACAGCUGAUUUCAGUGGAGUCAUUCUGGUGACUUUGGUAAUAAUUUCCACUAACCUGAGGAACUCCACCUCCUAUUUUAUUGUAAUUUUGUCCUAUAAUGCGUAUUUUGUUUAAUAUGGAACUAUUUGGUGAGUAAGCCAGAACUGCACAUUUUGGAGUAAUUUAGAUGUGACACUUGUGAUUAACAAAGCAGAGCAUGAAGACAUUUGCAAUGCAAAUUUGAUACGUAUUUAUGUGGAAGUAAUGGAUUUAAAUGAUGAUGUAUUCAGUCUAAUGCAACUUUAUGCAGAUGUAAGUGCUUAAGAAGUAAUUAAGUACAGUUUUCUAUAACAUUAAUUAGAGGAUCCUGAAUGCUCCCACUAUCAGUGGGCUCAUCUAGGAAUCAAAUUGGAACGGGGUGUGUCAUUUGCACUGGUAACUUUAUUUUGAAAGAGUAGGAAGAUAAAGGUGUUUUAUUUGAGCAUUUAACAUCACUUUCAAAGAAAACCUGAGCAUUUAAUGUCUGACAUUAGCACCUGAUGACUACAUAUUGCCCCAUUUCUCUCUUUUACCAGCAGAUCAAAAGAGGAGUUCAGACAAAAUCUCUUGAGUGGCUGCACAUGGCAAUUUCUGGGGAUGUGGUGGAGCAUUGGAGGCUCUCAGGAAUGCGUUUAAGGCUCUGUUAACAUUAUUUAACAUUAACAUUUCUGAGUUUGGUGCAGGAACAGCUCUCUCUAAUCUGCGGGAGGGGUAACGUGGGGGUGCCUCCUCCUGCUGAGCAGGACUGACAUUCCCACGCUGUGGAUUCUGGCAGGGAAACGCCCAGUUAGAGGAUUAGCAGAUGUUUUAUCUCUGAGUGCAAGGAAGGCGUUGGGCACUGAAUGGGUGCAUUUGUGCCUGCUAAAAAAACCCCAAAACAACAGUUUUUGCUUUACCCGGUUCAGAUGCUCUGAACUGAUGUGGGAGCUGCAGCCUGGGAGAAGGAAAAGGAAGCUGUAAGACUUCCCUGCAGCUGAACUUUGAAAUGGAACUGCUGCUGUGGAUGAGUUUUGUGAGGGUAACAGAAAAGUCUGGCUGGAGGAGCUGGGACACAUCCCUGUGCCCAAAGCUGCACCUGCUCCGGAAAAUCUCAGCUCCUGCUGGCUUCUCUCCAGUAACCCCAAGUGCCCAAGGGGAUUCCUGCAGCUGAUUUGGAUGGCUGAACUGUCCUUCCACGAGACAGGUGAGGAUGCUCAGGAACAAGAGUAGUACAGCAAAGAUUUAGGGAAAGAGCCGCCUCUGUGCCCCGGGAGAGCCCUGGAGGCAGAACUCGGUCACAGUGCUGGAGGAAGUGGUCUGGGAAUCAUCACAGCCUGGGAAUCACUCUUUGGCAAGGACAGAAACUCUCCUUGGCUCCACUCUGGACUGUGGCUGGAAUUUGCUGGGGAGUGGGCCAGGGGUGGCUAAAACAUUGUCAGGCUGUGAGUGCUGCAGCUCUGCUCUCCUGGAGGAGGCCGGGGGAAGCUGCCCUGGUGCCCCAGGCAGAACUGGCAGAGCCUCCCCAGACUGCUUUGAGGGAGCUGAUUAAAUACCCUGGUUCCACCUCUGCUGUGAUACCCUGCUGCUUUUAUUUGUUUUAGUCUUUGGUGACUGCAGGACAAAGUGGAAACAAAUGUGCCUAGCUGAGACCUGGCUGUGUAUUCGAAAUAAACGCGUGGCCUUGCUGGGAAAAUCCA